GGCUGCACCCACAGCAUAUGGAAGUUCCCAGAUAGGGGUCCAUUUGGAGCUACAGCUGCUGACCUACACCACAGCAACAGCAACGCCAGACACCACUGCUCAUGGCAAUGCCAGGUCCUUAACCCACUGAGUAAGGCCAGGGAUCGAAUCCGAAAUCUCAUGGUUCCUAGACAGAUUUCUUUCCACUGUGCCAUGAUGGGAACUCCUCUUUCCUUCCUUUUGAAGUCACCUCAACCUUAUUUUUUAUGAAAUAAAUUUUCUGACAUUGUUUCUCUGUUUCUCAUCUGGUUCCUUCAGGCUCAUGAUUCAAGAAUGACCACUGUCUCUGAGAAUGGUCUUCAUGGCUGUUCACACCAGUGGCAUCAUCUUCACCAGGGCACUCCAUGAUCCUUAAAUCUUGCCCCAUACAGAGUUGUCUUGUUGGUGGGAGUUUCUCUCUUCAUCCUGCCACUGUUCAAUAAAAAUUUUAAUGAAGAGAAAUUCUAACUCUGCAAUUAGAAAAGGUUCAUGGAGUUCCUGUUGUGGCUCAGCAAGUUAAGUAUCCAUGAGGAUGCUGUUUAACCCAUGGCCUCCCUCAGUGGGUUAAGGAUCCAGCAUUGGCACAAGCUUGGUGCAGGUCUCAGAUGCAGAUCUGAAAGAAAGAAAGAAAGAAAGAAAGAAAGAAAGAAAGAAAGAAAAGAAAGAAAGAAAGAAAGAAAGAAAGAAAGAAAGACAGACCACAACAAAAAAGAAAAACAGAAAAAAAAAAAGAAAGGAAAAGAUUCUGUAGCAUUUGAGGGCAAUAUUGGAACCAAAAGAGAUGAGGUGGUAAGCAGUUGGCAGGAGUGGAAGUAUUUAGGACACCUGGAGAGAAAAUGCCUAAAAGCAACUAAGUACUAGAGGCUGUUGUAAGCAAUUGAUAUAUUCAAGCUUACUUAAAUUUCAUGACAAUGGCAACACCUUCAGUGCAGUUAAGGAAGACAUUAUGUAAUUGGAUUGGAUGCAGCAGAAGUAGAAGGAGGAAAGAAGAAGUGAGGCUGAAAAAAUGGGCUGGAGCCAUAUUCCAGAAAACCUUAUCCUGUUAAGUAAUCAGCAAUUUGUUUUUCCUAUAAGAAUCCAUAGACCCUUUGCGUUUUGGUUUUGGUUUUUAACAAUGUGGUGACGUGGUUGGCAUUGUGCUUGAGGAUGAUAGCUCUGAUUGCCACAUGAAGGAUGGAUUGGGGAGAGAAAUUAGCACAAAAGAUCAAAUGGAAAAGUUGGAACAGAGAGAAGGUGGGGAGAAGGAAAGGAAGGGAAGGGUAUGAGAAACAUAACCCAUUGUCUCACUCACAUGUUUAUUCAGCAAGGGCUUAUUAAGAGACUCUUUUAUGCUGGGUGUUAAGGAUCUGUGCAAAGUACCUGAAAACCAGAUUAUGAGGACCUUGCUGGGGAGUAAGAGUUAUAAUGAGGAGAUGAAGAUGAUUUCAUUUUGGGUUCUGAGGCAACCAAGAAAGAAAACAUAAGGAAAGAAUAUGAAAACCAUGACUUCUGCUGCUUCAUUCCCCUGUAAUUUUUCUGUACAUUCCCCAAAGGCCAUUUUUUUCAUCAUGUUCCUCCCCAGACGAAAAAAGAAUUCCCUACUGUUUGCUUUCAAGUUGGCCUUCAAGGACCCCCCACUCUGACUGCAUCCUCCUUUUCCCACCCUACCUACUUCUCUGGGCUACAUGCCAAGCAUCCUUCAUUCAAUCCAGGCCAGUUUAUUUAACUUCUUCCUGACAUUAACUUUAGGAUUUUGGGCAUAAUAACUCCUCUUCACCUAAAAAUUAUCCAUCUUGAAAUCUCAAAUUAGAGUCCCUUCUGACCCUUUGAUAUCUUGGCCCUGAAACCCAAAGCUUCCCCUAACCUUCCCAACUGCCAGGGAUGGCUUCCUCCUUCAUAUGUGCCUUAUUUCCACCAGUGGCUUGGUUGAGUGUCUUGUGAAAAGAUGACACCUGCUUCAUAUAUCUUCUGUGCCCUGGUACAAUGUCUGCACUAACCACGGUAACUUUAGAAGGCUUCUGAAAGCUACCAUGUUGCAGGAGAGACAGCCAGGGCAAAGUUCCCUUUUCUUUGGAGCUUGGUUCCUUGGAUUCCUUUGGAUGCACGAUUCCUUACAGCUGCAUGUAGCUCUGACUUUGAAAAUCACCUCCAGAAACAAUACUAUAUUUAUCAGCAAUCAUGCAACACAGGCUCCUUAGAUAAGGAUAUUGCUUAUUUCCUGCUUCAGUGUUUAAAGAUGCAUUUCACUGGUUCCUGGUAUCAUCUUUUUGAAAGAAAGGAUAUUAGGUAUUCUUCUCCAAACACACUGGACAAACUUAAAAAUAAAGUUCCCAUCCUUCAACCUCCAGUUCUAAAUGUGAUGUCUGCUAUUAAAAGGGUUUAAUGUUAGAUGUUAGAUGACCCCAAUCAAUGGAUAAUGGUACUUUUAUGACUAAUUAUAUCCAAGAGAUAUGAGAAAAACCUGUUCUUGUGAACAUGAGUUUCAAAAUUGCAACUGAGCAAAAAACCCAAAGCAAUUUGAACUCUUAGUUUUAAAUGCUGUAAUUGGGUGCCUAGUGUAAAAAAAAAAUUGGUUUAGUGGCUUUCAGGGAAAUCACGUAGUAUAUUACGUAUUUCACUUUUUUAAGCACCCCAAAGAUUGUUUUUAUGAAUGUAUUGAUUUAUAUUUAUUUGUUAAAAUAAAGUUGAAUCAGCUUGAAAUAGCUACGGAACAAACAUUCAAGAUACACAUGGACAUUAUAAGCUAAGUGUCCUUUAUUUAUGUAUAAAUGUUUGUACAUUUAAGUAUAUAUGUAUGUGUUGAUGUGUAUUUAUUAAGUGUCUAAAUUGCACCUAUUACACAUCAGUUUGCUUGGCACUAAGGGAUGCACAAAGGGGUUAUACAUUUAAAAUCUGCAUGUCAGAAUUGCCUUUCCCCUUUAGCUGUAGACAAGACUGAACUGGACCCCAUUCUGCUAUUUGCAGAGAGUUCAUUGCCUUUGGGAAUGAUAAAUAUCACACUGAAAAUGGGGGCUAUAUCUAGAGAGGUGUGGGAGGGAGAUGUUAUUGGAGAAGAUACUCAGGAGCUUCAAAUAUAUUGAUAAUUUUUUAGGCUUGUAUGUACAUGGUUAUUGAUUAUAUAUAUUCAUCUUUACAGUUUUUGCAUAACUUAAAUGUUUUAAAAUAAAACUUUAAAAAUGACCAAUUCCUUCUGCAGAAUUUUUGUGAAUUCUAAGGUAUCGUUUGCUUCCGUGCUUACCUCUCGAUUCUCAUGUCCUCCUUCUGCUGUGUGGCUUCCAUUUGGGACCUCUUUCCAGCAGGCUGAUGCGGUUGUCCUGCUUCCAUAGUGAUGCAAUGCAGACAUGAAAUUCAGUCUCUUUCUUUGAUUUACACAAACACUGAACCCACAAAUGAAUACAGCAGUCUAAACUAAAGUGUGCAGAGCUAAAGCCUGUACUUCUUAGGAAUGUAAGCAACUUAUAAUGAAACACUGCCACUCUUAGGAACUACAGCUGCCAGCUUUGCCAGAGCCACGCAAGAUCUGAGCUGCAUCUGUGACCUACACCACAGCUCACAGCAAUGCCGAUCCUUAACCCACUGAGUGAAGCCAGGGAUUGAACCUGUAUCCUCAGGGAUCCUCUUGGGUUUGUUACCGAUGAGCCAUAACAGGAACUUCACAAUGUUGCUGCUGUUAAAGAGCUUCUGGCCAUUCCACCAGGAAUGUUGUCCCUGCAGAAGCCUAACCAUUCCCACUCAUGCUGCCUCCUUUCUUCUCUUCCUCGUUCUUCUCUCCCACUCUGUCUUCAUGAACUCCAAAUUCUUCCUGCUCUGUUAUAAAGAGCAGUGUUUAUCUUUUAAGUCUUGAUCCCCAGCCUUAUAUUAUAGGCACUGAAUAAAUAUUUAUUGAAAAAUGAACAAAACUUGAUUCCACACAUAUAUCCCAAACCCACCAAACAGCUCAAAAUUUCUAGUCCAUAAACAACGGUGGCCUGGAAGAAACCCGACAUUUCUUUAUAUGUGUACUAAUUCCCUCAGAAGGAAUUGUGGUUUUAAGCAGUAAUUUUUCAUUUUCUCCAAUAUAUGUAGUAAAUUUUGAACCCAUUAAGGGGUUUCAAAUCUACCUAGGUUGACAGGACAUAUAUAUCCAAUAGAAAAGUUUAAGGCACAUAGGAGUGGAGGUAAAGAUUAUAGAAAUUUGUAGGAGGUUAUCACAGCUGAUGUUUAAAGGAGUUUGCAAAGGAUGAUUUAGGAGGUAAAAUUUCACUAGUAUUUGAAAUAAGAGUUAGACAAGUUACUGGAGAGAAGGCCUGCUAUAUUGGAAGAAAUAUAUGAGCAAAGAAAAGGAGCAAGAGAAAGUUUAUCUUUAGAAUAAAUCCAUGAGUAAGCCCAUAAAGAACUGGUAAUAUUCCAUUGUACACAUACACCACAUCUUUUUCAUCUAUUCAUCUGUCGAUGGAAUUUUAGGUUGCUUCCAGAUCUUGGCAAUUGUACAUAACACUACUAGGAAUAUUAAAGUACAUGCAUCUUUUGAAUUAGUGUUUUAGUUUAUUUCAGAUAUAUACCCAAGUGGAAUUGCUGGGUCAUAUGGUAGUUUUAUUUUAUUUUUAUUUUUAAGAGUCUUUUUGAAAAUUAAAGUAUAGUCGACUUACAAUGUUGUGUCAAUUUCUGCCAUCAUUAACAAAUAUACAAAUAAAAAAUGCUGGAGAGGGUGUGGAGAAAAGGAAACCCUCCUUUACUGUUGGUAGGAAUGUAAAUUGAUAAAACCACUAUGGAAAAUAACAUAGAGGUUCCUCAGAAAAC
rnacentral:lncRNA from 1 species